UACGGAGGGUGCAAGCGUUAUCCGGAUUCACUGGGUUUAAAGGGUGCGUAGGUGGGCAGGUAAGUCAGUGGUGAAAUCUCCGGGCUUAACCCGGAACUGCCGUUGAUACUAUUUGUCUUGAAUAUUGUGGAGGUAAGCGGAAUAUGUCAUAGUAGCGGUGAAAUGCUAGAUAUGACAUAGAACACCAAUUGCGAAAGGCAGCUUACUACACAACGAUUGACGCUGAGGC
rnacentral:rRNA from 1 species